GGGUGCGAUCAUACCAGCACUAAUGCACCGGAUCCCAUCAGAACUCCGAAGUUAAACGUGCUUGGGCGAGAGUAGUACUAAGAUAGGUGACCUGUUGGGAAGUCCUCGUGUUGCACCCC
rfam:Ricinus communis cultivar Hale ctg_1100012362469, whole genome shotgun sequence.